UACAGAGGUCCCGAGCGUUGUUCGGAUUCAUUGGGCGUAAAGGGCGCGUAGGUGGCCCGGUCAGCGUGCGGUGAAAGCUCGGGGCUCAACCCGAGUCGGCCGUGCGAACUGCUGGCUCGAGCACUGUAGAGGCAGGCGGAAUUCCGGGUGUAGCGGUGGAAUGCGUAGAGAUCCGGAAGAACACCGGUGGCGAAGGCGGCCUG
rnacentral:rRNA from 1 species